rnacentral:rRNA from 1 species
CUACGGGAGGCUCCAGUGGGGAAUAUUGCACAAUGGGCGCAAGCCUGAUGCAGCCAUGCCGCGUGUAUGAAGAAGGCCUUCGGGUUGUAAAGUACUUUCAGCGGGGAGGAAGGGAGUAAAGUUAAUACCUUUGCUCAUUGACGUUACCCGCAGAAGAAGCACCGGCAAACUCCGCGCCAGCAGCCGCGGUAAUACGGAGGGUGCAAGCGUUAAUCGGAAUUACUGGGCGUAAAGCGCACGCAGGCGGUUUGUUAAGUCAGAUGUGAAAUCCCCGGGCUCAACCUGGGAACUGCAUCUGAUACUGGCAAGCUUGAGUCUCGUAGAGGGGGGUAGAAUUCCAGGUGUAGCGGUGAAAUGCGUAGAGAUCUGGAGGAAUACCGGUGGCGAAGGCGGCCCCCUGGACGAAGACUGACGCUCAGGUGCGAAAGCGUGGGGAGCAAACAGGAUUAGAUACCCUAGUAGUC